rnacentral:rRNA from 1 species
UUUAUGGAGAGUUUGAUCCUGGCUCAGGAUGAACGCUGGCGGCGUGCCUAAUACAUGCAAGUCGAGCGAACGGACGAGAAGCUUGCUUUUCUGAUGUUAGCGGCGGACGGGUGAGUAACACGUGGAUAACCUACCUAUAAGACUGGGAUAACUUCGGGAAACCGGAGCUAAUACCGGAUAAUAUUUUGAACCGCAUGGU